GUGAGCCUCGCAAUCGUUGUCAAAUGCCGUUUGCUCAGUUCGUUGUGUGUUCCGCGGCCAAUGCAAUCGGAGACGGGCAAUCGAGUGCUUCUGUGCGUUUUGCGGACGAUUUUCUGAUUCCUCCCGCGUACCCAAUUAUCGCGCAAGCAUUUUGAGUUUGAUUCCGCUGUGAAUGAGCAGAUUCAAUCCAAUAUCCAUCGCACAGGUAACUGUCGUUAGCCACUCGAAAAAAAAAAAAUCCCGUUCCCGGUGGUGAAGUGUGCAAAAAAGUCGAAAUAUCAAAUACCCACCACCUCAUCAAACACCCCGUUUUGUUGUGCGUGGUCGAGGAAAAGAGAAGGGUGUGAGAGCUGUGUGUUUCAUCGCCUCGGUGAGCCUGUGUGCGUGUGUGAAUGAGUGUGUAUUUUUCUAGUGAAGCAAAAACAAAUCCAAAUCGCACAACUCAUCACCGAACCCAUCAUCUGGUGGCCGUUUUCCACUUUCCUCGGAGAAAAAGCUUUUCCUUUGCGGCGGCCACCCAUUGCGACAGUUUGGGUUGUUUCUAGCAUUUUCCCGUGUGCCUCCUCGGUGCCUGCUGCGAUACGCGUUUCUUCAGCCGUAUAUGUUCUCGAAAAGCAUUUGAAAGAACUCGUGAGCACUUGCUGUUGGCACUGGCGUGGGAAUAUAAUCGUCAGAAUUCAACAAUCUUUACUUUGAGACCUUAAGAAGAGGAGGGUUUCCCGUUUGUGUCGCUGCAGUUUCAAAUUAUUAAUGUGUGAUUUAUGUAUUUUUUUUACUAAAGAAAAGUGAAAAGUGACGAAAUUGUGAUGUUUUCCGCUCGUUAAUAUAUAAAAUACCCCGGGAGCCACUAAUGUGCGAGAAAAGUGUGUGAAAAAUCGUAUGGUGUGUGUCUGCGCAAUGGUUAUUUAUGAUCGGUUAUUCGCUAUUGGUUCGUGUGUGUGUCUAAGAAUGCCCAGGAAAGUGUGAAAGUGUGUGUUAUGCUCGAUGUAAUCUGCACAUGCAAUAGAAGGUGAAGCCUGGCAUUUCCGGUGCACACAACGGUGUUGAAAAACCAGCUGGUGCGGAUCAGUGAAAACUAAGCGAUCAUCAAUCGUGUAUCAAUCAAUUCAGUGCUACGGAGUUACAUUCCACCCGGGAAAAAAAGAAGUCGCUGCUAGUUUCCAGCCCCCUCCGCCAGUGGUGGGUGGCGGCACCCCCAGCAAAACAUAUCUCCGCGCGUACCAUACCGCCGUGAAUGACACUAAUAGGGCCGGGCGCCCCAGGAAUGGCAUUUAUGAUGAAGAAGAAAAAGUACAAGUUCUCGGUGGAGCUGCACCUGGAGGAGCUGAUCGAGGUGCCGUUCCUGAACGCGAUGCUGUUUGCGAAGAUUCGCCUGCUGGACGGUGGCUCGUUCCAGGCGCACAGUACUAGGGAAGAGGUGAAAAACCACACAGUGCGGUGGGGUCAAAAGUUCGAGUUUCCCUGCAAAAUGACGUCGAACGCGUCGACCGGCGUGCUGGACCCGUGCACCGUGCGGAUAUCGGUGCGGAAAGAGAUCAAGGGCGGCCGGAGCUACCAGAAACUCGGCUUCACGGAUCUGAACCUGGCCGAGUUUGCCGGCUCGGGCCUGACGCCGCGCAAGUAUCUGCUCGAGGGGUAUGACGCACGGCACCGGCAGGACAACUCCAUGCUGAACGUGUCGAUACGCAUGCACAUGAUUCAGGGUGAUAUUUUGUUCAAAGUUCCUUCCCCGAGCCCGAAGUCGAAGACUGCCCUGCCCCAGGACAACAUGGCGCUCGGGCUACAGCCCACCGAUCCGGCGAUGGCGACGGUCGGUCCCGUCGUUACGCCCGUCGUGACGCGCGUUUCUACCAAAGACGAUCCGUCGGCCGGCUCCGUCGCGCCCGGGUUCGAUUCGCUGCCGAAGAAGAAACCCCCCACACAGGUCCUGCCGACGACGAUAGAGCACCAGCAAUCGUUCGACCUGGACCCGCAGUCGUUCAUCAUUACCGACUCCGGUAUCUCUGAAUCUUCCGAACCGCCAUCGUCCCUGCUGGACUUUCAGUCGAAUCUGUCCCUCGUUGCAUCGCUGCCGGUCAGUGUCGGUGCACCGCAGCAGACGGGCAGUGCCGCCCUGCCCGGCAGCCAGGUGGUACCGCCCGUCGGUACCGUGCCCGGUGCGAUCGAAUUAGGUCACUCGCGCAACUCGAGCAAUACUAGUCAAAUGUCCAAAGGUUCCGGCUACAGCAGCUUCUCCCACAGUCAACACUCGAGGCAAAGCUCCGAGGGAGAUUCCGGCCACCAGAGGUACCGUCCGGCGACGGCAACGGUUUACCAGGGCAAACCGGGCACGCUGCUGACGGUCACCGGCUCCAAAACCAUCACCACCACCAACACCAUCACCACGUCUAGUAGUAGUACCGCACAGUCUUCCUUAGCUAACGGGGGCCGUUUCGUAACGCUCGCUAAUAAGAAACUUCUCGCCAGCGGUCUCAGCAGCAGCACGAGCGCCGGCAGCAACGGCCGGCUCAACCCGACCAAGCAGCAGAUGAUGACGGCGAACCGGCUGCUGAUGAAGCUGCGCAUACCGCAGAGCCCGAACUCGGACUCGGGCGACGAGGUGUUUGUCACGCCGGACGUGACGGUGCUGUCGGAGGACGAGGGCGGCGCCAGCGACGAUCGGACCGAGUCGGGCGUGGAGGAGUUCGGCACACCGACGUCCGAGAUCCCGCUGUCGAAGCUGGUCAAGAUCAAGAGCAUGAACAAUCUGGCCGUACCGAAGGGGGCCAUGUUUUCCGACGAGGAGGAGGUGGGCGACCAAACGCACGGCUACUUCCUGGCAGCUGGAGGGCGGCCGGACGAGGAUCACCACCAUCUGACGCCGGGGCUGAACCUGAGCCGCAUGAAAUCGCUCGGCAAUCUGUCGGCGUACGAGCGCGAGUUUGGCCACACGCCGGUCGAUCUGCUGCAGUCGAAGCGGGACUUUGAGACGCGCCGGUUCAGCUUCGCCAAGAUGCGCUCGCUCACCGAUCUGACCGGGGGCGACGAGUCGGACGAUGUGUUGGUGCGGCGCCGCCGCCAGCUCAAGGCGGAGGAGAAAAGCUCCUCGGAUGAGUCAAACGCGCCGUCCUCGUGCCAGCUAUCGCCGCUCGGUGGAGGUGGUGGCGGCGGCGCCAGUGUCGAGCUGGCCAAUCGGUUUCUGCCCUUCCAGAUGCGCAGCUCCUUCCACAGCGGUGUGUAUCGGAAGCGGUCCGGCAUCGGGUACACACGGUACAUUGGCAUUGAUGAUGAUCCGGCGGCGGCCGGUGGUGGGACCGCUGCAUCAGCAACGCUCGGUCCGAGCAAUUUAACAAAGAUCAACUCGCUCAGCACGAUCCCGACCGUACUGGCAGCGGAGCGCGUGAACCAUGUGCCCUUCCUGACGCCCAACAUUGGCCGGAAGCGGUUUGCGUCCGCCUCGACCUACAACGCAACCCGUGCCAGCGCCACGAGCAGUCCGGACGAGAACGAUCCGGACGCGGCGGUACGACUGCCGGCAGCGAAACCGAAAACGACCUCACCAACCAGCUCGGUGGCGAAAGUGAUCGCCCGCAGCUCGAUACGGAGCAACAGCAACAAUCCGUUCGAGCGUAACUUCCGCAAGAGUGCCCCGAUCGGUGGGAUCGUGGUCGGGCAGCCCGACCCAGCGACCGACCGAUGUACCGGUGGGCUGCUGACCAGCUCCAGCUCGGUCGGCUCCGUCCAGCAGCUGCAGCAGGUCGGCGGGUUCUUCCGCCAGUCCGACAGCAACUUCUACAACAUCGUGCGCAACUACCCGAUCGGCAAGUCUUCCUCCGCCAAUCUAGAGUCACUGAAACAUCGCUCUUCCUACAACAACUUCCCGCUGAGCUUGAAACCUCAGCCGCAACAGCAGCAGCCGCCGCUCCAGAAGUCAUCCAAGGGCGGUGUGCUGACCGCUAAGGGGGCCGUCGAGCCGGCGAAGGGCAUUGCCGCCGUACCGCUGGUCGGUGUGAAGGCGGUGGCGGUGACGAAUCAUCAACCCACAGCAGCGGCAACGACGGCAACGGCGGGCAAUCGUGUCUACCAUAGGAACAUUUGUGGUUUGCACCGGCGCUUGCUGGACGGCAGCACCCGUCAACUAACCUCACUAACGCUAGCGACACCGUCGAGUUCCGGCGCGGGCACCACCUCCUCGUCCGGCUCGAGCGCCAUCAGCCCGUCGUCCACCGGUACGUCGGUCGGGCCCGGGAUGGCGGCGGGGUCCUCCUGCGGUUCCGGGUCCGGCUGCCUCCCGCCCGAUUGUACGGACGCGGUCGCCCUUCCACCCGGUGGCAAUGGAUUGUUGACCGAUCGUACGACGGCGGCGGCGGCGGCGAUGGCCUCGGCGACGGGGAUGGGACAGGCGGCGGCGGGUACGACCGGGACGCCACUGUGCGUUGCUUCAUCCUCAUCCUCAUCCGGGUUCGAUACGCCGUCGAUGCUCAACAAUGGCACUAACAACUCAUCAUCCCUCAAUCUACCAUCAUCGCUUGCGCUCCGACGUCCCAGUGCUAACAUAAAUCCCAGCUCCGGCUCGAUCCCGAUGAGCGAAACCGGUUCACUCGAUCGCAUGAAGUCGGCGGCGGAGCGAAGGAAAAAGGGCGCGGGCCACGACGGGGACAGCGGAAUGGCACCGACGCUGUCCGGGCGCGUGGAGGACACGCGCGUCAACACCGGGCUCAUCAUAGACGAGCUGCUGAAAAACACCAAACUGGACCAUUUAGAAGAUGCCGAAAAUCCCACCGGACUAGCACUGUACAUUAGCAGCGACGGUACGACGAUGGUCGGCAGCCACGAGGUGCAUUCGCGCAUGCCGGCCGGAGCAUUUAAGCAGGUUGUCAUGGAAACGCCCAGAUAGUAGCAACCGUAGCAGCAAAGUUGCUCUGCCAACAGCCGCUGCCGCCCAACAGUGGCCGCCACCACCGGCUGGCGGGUGAAAGUGGCGUCGCGUGUUGUUGCGGCACACGUUCGAGCACAGCGUGCAGAGUGCAUCAUCGUCGUCGUGCUUCAUCCAAAUUGUGUAUUUGCCAUACCCCCUCCCCUUCGGUUCACGCGAGUCAGUGUGUGUGUGUGUUGUCUGCGGUGCUGAACCGGCAGAGGCAUAUGAUACAAAACAAUACUACAGUGUGUGAUUAUUGGUUUAGGAAAGCGCGCCCGUGCCGUGUUGUACAGUAGUGUAGUAGUCGUAACUGUAUUUUCUUUUUUUUUGUUUCAUUUCCUUUUUUGUUGUCCGCCGUACGUAUGUACGAUGUUGUGAAAAACUUUCCCCCCCGAAUGUGUGAUUUAAUGUGUGUGUUUGUAUGUGCGAUAUGUCUGUAUGUGUAUGUAAAUUGUAUGGUCUCGGGGGUUUCGAUUUUCAUUUCAAAUCCGUAUCCUUUCUUCGUGACCACCGUGAAUGUUUACUUACAGCAGCAAAAAGCGAUACAAAAUACGCUCAUAUUGGCAUUGUCUGCAUCCAAGCAGAGAGCAAUAGUGACGUCGGGUUCAAUGAAGAAGCAGCAAUUUCUUAUAAAAACACACAAGAAACCCCUCCUUACCGUGCGAUACAUUGCAAAGCAAGCAGUUUGGCUAGGCUAGCUCACCUAAGAAAUUGCUCGUGUGUAGAAAAAAACGCACCGUGAAAAGGGAGGUUUGAUGAAAGGCGGGAAAGGAUUUCGGUAAUCAACCUUUGUUUUAAAUCAGUUCACUCUCUUCAAAAUGUUCUUUCGCAGUUUGAUUCCGCACGAUACAUCUUGUCUAAACAGGGGCACAAGCACAGCAAACACCAUUAGAUCAGAAUAGAGAAAGAAGAAGAAGAAGAAGAAGAAGCAAAUACCAUAAGCCAUUACGUUGUGAUAAACUUUAACGGGUUAAAGAGUUUUUUUUUUAUUUGAAUUCUUCUUUAUGCUUAAAAUCCUGUGCUAGCAUGUAACCUGCUGCUGCUCUUGCUGCUACACACAAUUACUGCUACUUGGGUGGUAUUUUUAAAAGGAUUUUAUAGUUAGGAUUGUGUGCAGUUUUUUUUUGUUCUUUGUGUGUGUGCAUCUGUUUUUUGUUUCUGUACAAACAUUUCCAAUCGGUGCCGCCGUUACGUUGAAAAGUAGCUUAGCGUGUGAUGUAGCAUAAAAACGAGCGCAUAAAUUGUGGAAGAAAGUGGCGAAGAAACAAUUGUUAGUUGCAACUGCUUUGGAAGAAUUGAUUAAAAAGAAGAAAGCGUAAAAACGGGCAAGUAAUAUUUAGUGAGGAGCGAACAACAGGAACAGCCUGCAAGUAAUAAAGAGACGUAAUAAACAAUAACAACACAAACGAAUCCCUCCGCCCUCUUCACGUGCUCCCCGAGGGGAUGGGAGGACACCGCUGGUGAAAAUAAAAACAAAUAAGAAAAAGGGAAAGCUCACUUACCUGAGAUUGUGGUUGCGCAUCGUUAGGACACAGGAAAAGAAAAGCAACAACAACAAAAACACUGUAUAUGUGUGCAUGUGUGUAUAGCAGAGAGCGAUUAUAUUACUUUAUUAUUGUAGUAUCAUUAGUUUUAAUCUUAUUUCUUAUACCUUUUAUAAUUCGUUCCAGUUAACGUAAAAAAUGUGAAGAAAGCAAAUGAAAUUUGUUUAUGUUUCAAGAAUGUUUUUUUAAAUUAUAAUUAUUACUUUGUAAAAUCAGCUGCGAAAAAUGAAUGCUAUCGCUGUGCUUUAGGUAGUAGUGGUUGGUUUUGUAUUACUUUUGCACGCACCGUUUAUGUUCCUAGCACUGGAUCCUUUAGGUAAUCAAAGUUUUUGAAUAAUCAGGUCAUCCUAGGGUCAUAUAGUAAGACAAAAUUAUAGUCUUUUAUUAUCCAAACUUUAAGCUUUGAUUGGGUGGAAGAACGCGUGCAAGCAUGGUUUUUUUAAGAAUGUUGCUCUGUUGUCCCUUUCUCAAACCAGAUUUAAUGUUUUAUUUAUUUCUUUUGUUCAGUGUAUAUAAUUAACUGGUGUAACAAACACACAAACAACAGCUGCUGUAUGUAAAGAGUAAACGAAAUGCAACACUGCGUCACGUGUCACUAACUCUAGUUGAUAGGAAAGCGAAAGGAGAUUUGUUGGAACUGUUCUAACACAGAGUGCAGUUACGAAUAGAAUCAAUUGCAAUGUAAAGUUGUAAAGAAGCACCAGCAGGGAAACAAGAUGAACAGUGGCAACCAACAGCACACAUACAUACAGCGUAAUGUCUCCAUCCAGUUUAUGAGUGUGCAUCCUAGGCAUGUAUCAUAUUUGCAAGUAAACAUUUUCAAAGCUCAAGGCGCGACAGCAAUGCAUAGCAAACACACACAUAAGCAAACAGUGAACGUAACUAGAGCGUAAUCAAAUAAUUCAGCCUAAUAGAAGGAAAUCAAGCAAGAAGAAAUAAAUUUAAAAAACGGUUAGGAAAAAUAAUCAUUAAAACAUUUCUCAACUUCGAAUACAAAAAUACCAUUCAAAAACUUUGGUAGCAAUUGAUUGUUUUCUCUUAUAUAGCGCUGACUGAUGCGUGGUUUAGGUAGUACAUACACACACGUAGAGGUUAUAACCUAUUCCAUCGUGUUUAAUGUAGUUGCAGCUAAAAAAAGGGAAAUGCAUUUGAACCAUUGUGCUGUUUGUUUGCUGAGUGCGCGAGAGUUUUUGUUUGCUCCUCUUCGCGAGCGUGUUUUCAUGGUAGUUAAAAUUCUAAUCUGUGCGCAAAACAUAAAAAGAACAAGACGACAAGAGAGAGAACAGAAACCAAUCAUGCAAAGCCUCGAGAUCAUCUCUGUACGCAGAGAGGUUCGCUAAACACCUGCUAAUAAGAUGUUAAUAAGUAAGCGGCAUGGAGAUGUGUGUAAUUCGUACUAGGUAAACUUACACCAUACGGUAAUGUCAAAGGGCGCGUGGAGACAUAUACACGGGAUGCGGAUAAAGUAAAACAAAAUAUACACAAACCAACAAAUCUGAA